rnacentral:rRNA from 1 species
CCUACGGGUGGCUGCAGUGGGGAAUUUUGGACAAUGGGCGCAAGCCUGAUCCAGCCAUUCCGCGUGAGUGAAGAAGGCCUUCGGGUUGUAAAGCUCUUUCAGCAGGAACGAAACGGUGGGUCUUAAUACGGCCUGCUAAUGACGGUACCUGCAGAAGAAGCACCGGCUAACUACGUGCCAGCAGCCGCGGUAAUACGUAGGGUACUACUGUUAAUCGGACGUGCUGGGCGUAAGGCGUAAGCAGGCGGCGAAAUCCCCGGGCUCAACCUGGGAACGGCGUUUGUGACUGUGUGGCUAGAGUGUAGCAGAGGGGGGUGGAAUUCCACGUGUAGCAGUGAAAUGCGUAGAGAUGUGGAGGAACACCGAUGGCGAAGGCAGCCCCCUGGGUUAACACUGACGCUCAUGCACGAAAGCGUGGGGAGCAAACAGGAUUAGAUACCCCGGUAGUC